rnacentral:rRNA from 1 species
UACGUAGGGGCAAGCGUUGUCCGGAUUUAUUGGGCGUAAAGAGCUCGUAGGCGGUUUGGUAAGUCGGAUGUGAAAUCUCCAGGCUCAACCUGGAGGGGUCAUCCGAUACUGCCAUGACUUGAGUUCGGUAGGGGAGUGUGGAAUUCCUGGUGUAGCGGUGAAAUGCGCAGAUAUCAGGAGGAACACCGGUGGCGAAGGCGGGACUGCUGGCCGAUGACUGACGCUGGAGGAGCGAAGCGUGGGAGC